UCAUCCUUAGUUGGUAAUGAAGGAAGCUCCAACUUCUGGUCAGAAGCCUUCUCAGAAGAUAGAGAAGCAAGCUGAGCAUCUUCAUCCCAUUCCUUUUUUAGGCGAGAAAGAUAAUCAUCUUUGGCCUUUUCCAGACGGAGCUUGCCUCCCUUCCAAACACACCCGUUGUACUGCAAAAGUCAAUUGGUUUAAAAAAACAAAGCAGA
rnacentral:lncRNA from 1 species